UAAAGGGAGAAAGGCUGCCCCUGC
rnacentral:piRNA from 1 species